rnacentral:rRNA from 1 species
UCAAGAGGGAAACAGCCCAGACCGCCGACUAAGGUCCCCAAUGCUGUACUAAGUGGAAAAGGAUGUAGGACUUCCCAGACAACCAGGAUGUUGGCUCAGAAGCAGCCACCAUUGAAAGAGUGCGUAAUAGCUCACUGGUCAAGUGGUAAUGCGCCGAAGAUGAACGGGGCUAAAUCUGAUACCGAAACUGUGGGAUAG